UAGGGAAUCUUCCACAAUGGACGAAAGUCUGAUGGAGCAACGCCGCGUGAGUGAAGAAGGGUUUCGGCUCGUAAAACUCUGUUGUUAAAGAAGAACAUAUCUGAGAGUAACUGUUCAGGUAUUGACGGUAUUUAACCAGAAAGCCACGGCUAACUACGUGCCAGCAGCCGCGGUAAUACGUAGGUGGCAAGCGUUGUCCGGAUUUAUUGGGCGUAAAGCGAGCGCAGGCGGUUUUUUAAGUCUGAUGUGAAAGCCUUCGGCUCAACCGAAGAAGUGCAUCGGAAACUAGGAAACUUGAGUGCAGAAGAGGACAGUGGAACUCCAUGUGUAGCGGUGAAAUGCGUAGAUAUAUGGAAGAACACCAGUGGCGAAGGCGGCUGUCUGGUCUGUAACUGACGCUGAGGCUCGAAAGUAUGGGUAGCAAACAGG
rnacentral:rRNA from 1 species